AUUGAACGCUGGCGGCAGGCUUAACACAUGCAAGUCGAGCGAGCGGCGGACGGGUGAGUAAUGUCUGGGAAACUGCCUGAUGGAGGGGGAUAACUACUGGAAACGGUAGCUAAUACCGCAUACCAUCAGAUGUGCCCAGAUGGGAUUAGCUAGUAGGUGGGGUAAUGGCUCACCUAGGCGACGAUCCCUAGCUGGUCUGAGAGGAUGACCAGCCACCUGGGAACGGGGACAAGGUCAUGACGCCUACGGCAGGGAGCAGUGGGGAAUAGUGCACAAUGGGCGCAAGCCUGAUACAGCCAUGCCGCGUGUGUGAAGAAGGCCUUCGGGGUGUAAAGAACUUUCAGCGAGGAGGCGGUACUCGCAGAAGAAGCACCGGCUAACUCCGUGCCAGCAGCCGCGGUAAUUC
rnacentral:rRNA from 1 species